UUAACCAGAGCCAGGGAAGGCUCUCCUGCUCAAAACCCUAAAUUGCAAGAAUUGAUCAAAUCGAAGGGCAGAACUAGCUCUAAUCAGAUGCAUGAAUACAAAUUCAUGAUCACCUAGUCGUGAGGAUUACAAGUUUGUCGCUCAACGAGCUAGGUGGAGGCUUGGGAAAGAAGCGGUCAAACGAAUCAAGCACGAGAAGAAAAGCGUAUUCGGAUGGAAGGUGAUUGCCAAGAGUGCCCGGAUGAAGAUCAAGCUCGAAGAAGAACCGAACACGAUAAAGUUAAAAGCUUCCGCGCGGCGUUUCGUCGUAUCUUUUAAACGACGAAUUCAAUUACAUUAAGUUGUUCUUUUUUUUAAAUUGUAAAAGUUUUUAGUAAACUCGUAUU